CGACAUCAGACUGAUGUCUAGUCGAGGCCCCGCUGAGGACGAACGGCACACAGCGGAGCUUCGUUUCAAUUCUUUGGUUUGGUCUCGGAUAUUAAAGACGGCGGUGAGAUGUCCGUUCACAGUGAACAGCAGGUGUUCGGCACUACUUCCCAACCAGACGCCUUUUUACCGGCCAUCAUUUCAAUGGAAGUCUACGCCGCUGAAUCCAACUAUUGCACACUCGUCGUACCAUCUGCUUCAGUGUAUACAGUGUUGCAUAUGCCCUACACACCUCCCUAUUACUCAACAUCACAGUGGGAACCUUUAAUUUCACUUUCACCGUGCAGCUAUAUUCCUGUUUCAAGAAGAUGGGGACAGAAAACCUGGCACAGGGGACAGAAAGAGUCCUAGAAGAGAGAAGACCGGGAGCAGGGAGACACACACAAAGGCACUGAGCUGCAGCUGUGUCCUGAGAAGGGAGGGUGGUCAACUCGAUCUCAUAGAUGCUCCAUCAAAGGGAAUUCUGUUCAUGGCCUUGCUUCAUAUCUUAUUUGAUCGGAGAUCCCGACACCUUCAAUCGGUUGAUGAGACAUCGGUAUCAAUGCCUUUCGAC
ensembl:lncRNA